GAUCCUGGCUCAGGAUGAACGCUGGCGGCGUGCCUAACACAUGCAAGUCGAGCGAUUCUCUUCGGAGAAGAGCGGCGGACGGGUGAGUAACGCGUGGGUAACCUGCCCUGUACACACGGAUAACAUACCGAAAGGUAUGCUAAUACGGGAUAACAUAAGAAAUUCGCAUGUUUUUCUUAUCAAAGCUCCGGCGGUACAGGAUGGACCCGCGUCUGAUUAGCUAGUUGGUGAGGUAACGGCUCACCAAGG
rnacentral:rRNA from 1 species